CCCAGUCCAUCCCAGUCCAUCCCAGUCCCAUCCCAGUCCCUCCCAGUCCCUCCCAGUUCCAUCCCAGUCCCUCCCAGUGUGUCCUAGUCCCAUCCCAGUCCAUCCCAGUCCCUCCCAGUUCCAUCCCAGUCCAUCCCAGUCCAUCCCAGUCCCAUCCCAGUCCCAUCCCAGUGUGUCCCAGUGCCCCCCAG